AACAUGUUCAUGUUGAACACAGCUACGACUUCCCCCAAACUCCUACAAAAUAUAUCCCUUUCUAUGGAGGAGCUGAGUACCAUGAUUACCAUCAUUAUGUUGGAGGGCAAAGCCAUAGUAACUUCGCAUCAGUUUUUACCUACUGUGACUAUAUCUAUGGAACAGACAAGGGAUACAGAUAUCAGAAAGAACACCUUGCAAAGUUGAGGGAGAUAUGGAAAACAAAUGACCUAAAUGAAGAAGUGAAUGCUCCAUUGGUCAAGUAUGAAUAAGCAUUGCCUAUGGAAGUUACAUGCAUCGCAACAAUCCUUUUCCAUGUGUGCUUAUGGAUGAAGACGUCGUUCGCAUUACCAGGAUACCAAGCCAUCUUUCUCCAUUCAUGGAGAAAGUUGAGCACGUGCUUAUAUAACGUUAUUUAAUGGAAGCUCCACCGCACUUCUAGAUUAUGUAGAAUAAGCUCUCAUAAUGAGAUUAUGUGAGUGGUGCACAAUGUUCGGUCUUUUCCUCUAUCCUGGUGGUAAGAGCUACUUAACCAUUUUAAGCAAUUCAUGGUUAUAUAUAUGAAUCAGGAGUGGCUGAAUGCAUUUAGGGGCCUAA